AUUGAACGCUGGCAGCAUGACUAACACAUGCAAGUCGAACGAACCCUUCGGGGUGAGUGGCGCACGGGUGCGUAACGCGUGGGAAUCUGCCCUUUGCUUCGGAAUAGCAGUUAGAAAUGACUGCUAAUACCGGAUGAUGUCUUCGGACCAAAGAUUUAUCGGCAAGGGAUGAGCCCGCUAAGGAUUAGGUAAUUGGUGUGGUAAAGGCCUACCAAGCCGACGAUCCUUAGCUGGUCUGAGAGCAUGAUCAGCGACACUGGGACUGAUACACGGCCCAGACUCCUACGGGAGGCAGCAGUGGAGAAUAUUGGACAAUAUGCGCAAGCCUGAUCCAGCAAUGCCGCGUGAGUGAUGAAGGCCUUCGGGUCGUACAGCUCUUUUACCAGGGAUGAUAAUGACAGUACCUGGAGAAUAAGCUCCGGCUAACUCCGUGCCAGCAGCCGCAGUAACAC
rnacentral:rRNA from 1 species